UAUGUUUGUUUUUAUUAUCAAAUAUUAUAUCAGCAAUUCAAAAUACAAAAUCUUGUGAUGAUGUUUUCUUAAACAAAAUCUAUUCAGACUAUUGUUAGAUUUCAGUUUGAAGCAAUAGUUUUCAAAUCAUGGAAGACCACACAUAUUUCUUAAAUACUGAUAAAGAUAAAAUGUUUCACUAUAACAGCUGAAAUAAAGACUAAAUUAAACGAGGACAAAGGGUAUUACACUAUAAUUAAGUUUUAUGUUUUUUUCAAUGAAAGAUUUGUAUCUUUUCAACCAAAACGUCGGAAAAAUAAAUCAUAAGAGAACAAAAAAUCAAUUUACAGAUCUUAGAAACUCUACAAGGAGCACCUAUUUUGAGGGGGCAUAUCCUCCAGCAACUGUUCAUGUUAUAUAACUACGUUAAAUUUAGAAUUGGAUAAUUCAUUAGUUUUUGAUUGGAUUCGAUUUAGAUAUUUUUACUGAGCCUUCUGCACAUAUGUCUAUGACAUUUAUAAAAGACAUGUAUAUGACACCAUAAAACAGCUGUAAGCUCAACAUAUUAUUUGCAUUGAAAUAUACAAAAUUAAAUUACUAACAAC
rnacentral:lncRNA from 1 species